rnacentral:misc_RNA from 1 species
CUUGGAGUUGGACCACCCAAACACAUCCAUCACUUGCACAAAUUAACUUGUGGCAUAGAAAGAUAUGGUACAAUAGUCUUCUUUUGCAUGCACUGAAAAUUUUUUGGAAUUUCCUUUCCAACAAGAAUUCUGCAAAUGGAAACAACAAAAAACUGUGCUCAUGAAUCCCUGCACUUACAAAGAUCAAUUGAAAUGGUGGUGAUGGUGGUGGUGGUGGCGGCCGCAGUGGUGUCCGAUCUCGUCCAAACCGAAGCACCGCAAGAAAGGGUAACAAGCUGCGUAUAUGCAUCUCCCAACUCCGCUGAAAAUGGAAGAUACAAGGAAGUAAGGGCAGCAACAACACGCCAAGAAGGGAUCGUCGUAUGGGCUAUCUCCAUGAUGGUGAUGGUGGUGGUGGUGACCCAUAUUCUUCUCUUAGCUAAUUAAACAAAAAAUCAACAAAUGCCCAUUACUCAAAAAUCCAUAUCAUUCAAACCCUUUUCUUUUGCACAAAUCUAUCGCCUAAAUACCUAUUUCAGGAUUCUACCUGGAAUAUUAAAUUACAGAAGUAAUUUUCAGGAGGAAUUCAUAUUUAAAGUAAGAUUUUAGAACAGUAGAAUUAACAUAACCUAUUAAGAAAGAAGAUCGAAACUCGUAAAUUAGUAGCGAAAAAACCUCUCGGACGCUCUCUCUGUCGACAAAGAUCUGCAGCUACGAUAAAUGAAGGACAAUAACUGAAUGGGUUUGACGGGUUGUGUGAGGAGAAUUGAGUUUUCUCUGAAGAAUAUUGAGCUGGAAUGGAAAGCAGCGAGCAGAUAAGAAUACUAUACUUCUCCGCUGGUAAUAGAAUGCCUGAUUUUCCUUCUAUGAAUUACCAUAAGCACGUAAAAGGAGACUGCUAACGGAAC